AUGAUAGCUUGCUAUCAGGCGUCGAGCGGCGGACGGGUGAGUAAUACUUAGGAAUCUACCUAGUAGUGGGGGAUAGCACGGGGAAACUCGUAUUAAUACCGCAUACGACCUACGGGAGAAAGGGGGCAGUUUACUGCUCUCGCUAUUAGAUGAGCCUAAGUCGGAUUAGCUAGAUGGUGGGGUAAAGGCCUACCAUGGCGACGAUCUGUAGCUGGUCUGAGAGGAUGAUCAGCCACACCGGGACUGAGACACGGCCCGGACUCCUACGGGAGGCAGCAGUGGGGAAUAUUGGACAAUGGGGGAAACCCUGAUCCAGCCAUGCCGCGUGUGUGAAGAAGGCCUUUUGGUUGUAAAGCACUUUAAGCAGUGAAGAAGACUCCGUGGUUAAUACCCACGGACGAUGACAUUAGCUGCAGAAUAAGCACCGGCUAACUCUGUGCCAGCAGCCGCGGUAAUACAGAGGGUGCAAGCGUUAAUCGGAAUUACUGGGCGUAAAGGGAGCGUAGGUGGCUCGAUAAGUCAGAUGUGAAAUCCCCGGG
rnacentral:rRNA from 1 species